rnacentral:lncRNA from 1 species
AAAUGUGUCAGAUCAUUUUGGUCCACCCUGUAUAACUAAUAGCCCUAUGAAGGAGACUGAGGGUAAAGUGAUUAGGGUAAGUAAUUAAUGUAUUGCAUUUAACAAUUAAAACAAAAUUACAAAAUUGAAAUAUUAAAUUAAUUAAGAUCAGGAGUCUAGAAUCAGUGAAGUUAAUAAAUAAAAUAGAUAUUAGUUAUGUAGUAUGUUGCUAAAUCCGGGUGGAUGUGUCCUAAAGAGUUAAAGCAGAAACUAAGAAUUUAGAGUUUAAUUAGAAAGUGGUCAAGAAAAAUAUAACUGCAUAAACUAUGUUAGUAUGAAUAAAUAUGACUUAUGUUAAUUGAAGAUACAUAUCUAUCUUCAUCAUCAUCAUCAUCAUUGUUUAACAUCUGCUUUAUAUGUUGGCAUGAUUUGGAUGGUUUGACUAAGAACUGGCAAACCAGGCUCCAAUCUGAUUUGACAAGGUUUCUACAGCUGGAUGCCCUUCCUAACCCUGGCCACUCCAAGAGUGUAGUGGGUGCUUUUACAUGCCACCAGCAUGGGAGCCAGUCGGGGGCACUGGCAUCAGUGACACUCGAAUGGUAAAUUUUACAUGCCACUGGCACAGGUGCCAGUCAGACGGCACUAGCAUCAGCCACACUCGAAUGGUACUUUUUACAUGCCAUCAGCACAGGUGCCAGUCAGCCAGCACUGUCAUCAGCCAUGACUACGAUUUCACUCAGUUCAACAGUUUCUUCACAAGCAUGGCAUAUUGCCCAACGAUUGAAGGGUUCUUUUGUAAAUGGGUUAACUAUGUGACACUGGCAUUGACCCAACUACAAUCUCACUUAGCUUGCUGGGUCUUCUCAAGCACAGCAUGUCUCCAAAGGUCUUAGUUGCUUGUCAUUGCCUCUGUGAGGCCCAACAUUUGUAUGUUAUGCUUCACCACCUCAUCUCAUGUCUUCCUCAGUCUACCUCUUCCACAGGUUCCCUCCAAUGAUAGGGUGUGACACUUCUUCACACAGCUGUCCUCAUCCAUAUGCAGCACAUGACCAUACCAGCACUGAAUAAUACCAAUGGUUCUUUACUUAGAAGACUAUUUUGCAAUGAAUUCCCACUAAAUAUCAACUUCUGCAACUUUUAGACACCCCGUUUUACUCGUGCUCCCCCAUUUACUCUAUCAGUUAUGCUCCCCACUUUUGAGGUAUUGAAAUUUAAAAUAUUUGGGAUAUUGAAAUUUAAAAGAAAAACACCAACAGUAAUAAUUGUUAUAUUUUCAGUAUUAUUAGCAACACUGACUAAACUAUUGGUAACGCUUUAAUCAUAAAGGUUUAAAAAAACCCAAUUCUUUUACUAGUUUCGUUUCUGCAUUUGGUUUGCAAGAGUAUUGAUGAGAGUUCAAGUGUUGAAACGAAUCUUGUCAUAUCUUGGAAGGGUCAUUACACCAAUAGCAAUAAACACACACACUGGUUGAAUAUCACUACUUUAUUGUUAGUCAAUAGGUUAAAUAUCUAACCAGCUAAUUGAUUGUUUGUUUAAUGUUCUGGUUAAACAACGAAAGUCUGAAGAGAGAGGACAAGUCAUUGAGAAGUCAUGAAUAGCAAUGAAAGAACUUUGAAAAAUAAAUAACCAAUUGACUGUUUAACCAGCUCAUUAAACAAACAGUCGAUUAGUUAGCUGGUUAGAUAUUUAGCUAAUUCACUAACAAUAAAGAAGUGGAAUUGAACCCACGUAUGUGUUAUUAUUACUGGUGUAAUGACCUUCACAAACACAAGAUUAUUACUAGUUAUUGUUAUUAUAAUUAUAUUUAUUUUAACAGCCAUAACCAUAAUACUGUUUAUUACAAUUAGUAUAAAUAAGAUAUUUGCCAGUACUUUAUUAAUCAAAUAAAAAGCUUUACAGUUACAAUUUAAAUUGAUAUUUUGGGCCCACGGCUAUAGUAGGAUACAUUUGCCCAAGAUAUCAUUCAAGUUUUUUUUUACUAUAGCCUAGGACUGACAAAUAAGUUUGGUUACCAGAAACUGAAAGACACCAGUUAUGUGUGUACACAUAUUCAUAUCUGUGUGUGUGUGUGUGUGUGUGUGUGCAUGUGUGUAUUAGGGUGGAGCGAAAAAUGUAACUUUCGAAACUGGUAACCAAGAAUCGAUAUUUUGUUGCAAAUUAGAAUUAAAAGAAAUGCAUAUAAAGAACUUUGCAGUUAAAUUUUUUUUCAGGCUCCACAAUGCAAUUGAAAAUUUUAAAAAUCGCUAUUUUUGGUCAAAUUUUGAAUUUCAUGGAUUAUAAGUCAUAACAAAUACACGUUUCUACAUAGCAGAAUGCUAAACAGUACAAAUAGUAUCCUUAAGAGGUUGCAUACCAAGUUUGAAUACAAUUGACUAAUAUUUUGAGGUUCUGCACUGACUAUAAAGAGAACGGAAGGGUGAACUGCUCUCCAGUACCGCUGCAAUAGUCGUUAUGUGUGGGUGUAUGUUGUACGUGUGUGAAGUUUUCUGGUUUGUACCUUGACUUUAGGCCAUUGUAUUAAAAUUAAUGAUCGUGUUAAAUUUAGUCUUGUUUACAUUUAGUGAUGACUCAUAAGCCAAUAACAGGUCAUGAUAUUGAAUGCCGAAUAUUUGGUAUUCCAUGUGAUCUUAACGAGCGAGUUUUGCCAACUUACAAGGAUAUACUAACACCAACUACUUUACAGAGUGUACUGGGUGCUUUUAUGCAGCACUAGCACAGGUGCUUUUUACACAGCACUAGCACUUACAAGCCCAAAAGAUUAAGGAUGCUCAACUGGUGGGGGUUGCAAGGGACAAGCCUGCAUGCAAGGGCAACCACGCUUUUACUUAGCUUGACAUGUCUUUUCAAGCACAACAUCUAUUUUCCAUGCUGGUAAGGUGCAUUCCAGGGUUUUGAGACUUUCUUAGAAAAAGUAGUAAUAAAUGUCCAAGAUUACUGUAAUUUUUGUGUAUCAUUACUAUACAUCUAAGAAGCCAACCUGCCAAUUCUUGUUGCCCCAUUGAAGUAGAUACCUGUAGGAGCACUUUGAAAACACACCCUACCAAACACUGCUUGUCACAUCUGACUAGUUUGCAGAAUGCAGUCAGGACAUUUAGAAACUUUAUAUAAUGAAGUUUUGUAUCAAACUGGAAAAAUAAUAUUACAGACACUUACAGAGUUGGUUGAGAAAAUUCAUAGUUUUCUGAAUGAAGACUGCCAUAUGUCUAUAAAAACAGUUUGAAGUUGGUGUCACAACUGUACACAAUUAUUUAUGCAAAGUUUAUUUCCAGGGUGCUCAGUGAUGAGAAUCCUGGCAACCAACUACUUAAUAGAGAUGGUCAUUGAAACUGUCCCUUAUUCUCCCUACAAUCCAGAUCUUGUUCUCUGUAGCUUUCGGUUGUUCCCCAGGCUGAGGGAGAACUUCAGAGGCAGUCCGUUUUGAAGGUAGAGGAUGCUGUGACAAGGGUCCUGGACACCUUCGCUUUGGGAAAUUUCCAUGGAGCCAUCACAAAGUGGCUGAAGUGCUACAAGUGUAGGAAAGUCAGAGGAUCCUGUGUCUCUCCUGAAAAAGUCUACAAACUUCUGGGAUACACCUUGUACAUCAUCAGCACCAGAAGCAGCAGCAUUUAGCAUCUGUCUUCCAUGCUACCAAAGGUUGGACAGUUUGACAGGAGUUAGUAAAUGGGAGAACUGCACCAAAUUCCACUGCUUAUUUUGGCUUGGUUUCUAUGGCUGGAUGCUAUUCUUAAUGCCAACCACUUUACAGAAUGAGCUGGGUGCUUUUUACAUGGCACCAGCACCAGUGAGAUCACCAAGGAGCCUGCAAGACAAAGACCCUUUGAAAAUGGGUCAAUAUUGAAGAAGGUGGCUUUGUGCUAGGUGAUGAGAUGUUAGAGUAUGACAGAGGAACUGAAACAAGUAGAGGAGAUACAUGGUUAUCCCAGUCAGAAAGAGAGAAAGAGAGAGGGAGGAGAGAGAGCAAGAAUGAGAGAAAGUGAGAGUAAGAGAGACCAAGCAAGAGAGAGAACAAGACUGAAAGUGAGUGAGAGAGAUGGUGGUAAUGUGCCAGGACAUGCUUCUAAGGUACAAGAAUGAGAAUAUAAAUGGGAUGGUAAACGACUGUCCGGGGUGCAUGAGUAAGGAGUUCACAUGAAUGCAAAGGGGUGGGGCGGAGUAAUAUUAUUCAUCAUAUGAAAUAAUAAAAAUAAAUAUAAUUUAAUAAACCAAAAAAUAACGACAAAAAAAACAAAAUAUAACUGAUAAAAUGAUAGUAGAUAUUUUUUCUUCAUUUGAUGAUCAUAAUUCAACAACCUUAUACCUUCAUUCUCUUACAUGAAUUCUAUCCUUAUGAUCUCUCUUUUUUAUUAAUUCUUCAUUCUGAAUUUUCCCUUCAUUUUUUAAUUCCUCUCUAAUAAUCGAGUGGGGAAACCUGGGAAUGUAGAGAGGAUGGCAACAGGAUGGCAAUGAUACAGUUGGCAGGGCAGGAAGGACAGAAUUGGGCAGUAGGAGUGGGGAGGGGAAGUUAAGUAUAGUGCAUGAAGGAGGGAUGCAUUUUGGUUUAUUGGGGUGUGAAAAACUUAAUGUUAUAUGUGGGUAGAACACACAGCACUUCCCAGAACUCACACACACACACACAUUGCCAAGUGGUUAGGGUGUUUCAGUUCCUGGAUCAGAUGGUGCCUGAACAGAUCAUAUGAAAUUUGCUGAAGUGUAUGUGUAAAUAUAUAUCCAGGCACAGGUGUGGCUGUGUGGUAAGAAGCUUACUUCCCAACCACAUGGUUCCAGGUUCACUCCCACUGUGUAGCACCAUGGGCAAGUGUCUUCUGCUAUAGCCUUGGGCCAACCGAAGCCUUGUGAGUGGAUUUAGUAGAUAGAAACUGAAAGAAGCCCAUUGCAUAUGUGUGUGUGUAUCUAUGUGCAUGUGUCUCUGUGUCUGUCCUUGUCCCCCACUUCAACACUUGACAACCAAUGUUGGUGUGUUUAUGUCCCUGUAACUUAGUGGUUCAGCAAAAGAGAAUGAUAGAAUAAGUGCCAGGCUUACAAAGAAUAAGUUAUGUGGUUGAUAUCUUUGACUAAAAGGUGGCAAGAAAGAAUAUAUAUAUAUAUAUAUAUAUAUAUAUAUAUAUAUAUAUAUAUAUAUAUAUAUAUAUACAACAUGCAUACACAUAUUCUUUAUUCUUAUAUUUGGAGCACCACCUUGAAUUUUUAGUCAAAUGAACUGACACCAGUACUUCUUUUUUUUUUUCUUUUUAAGAAGUGGUGCUUAUUCUGUCAGUCUCUUUUACUGAACUGCUAAGUUAUGGAGGACACAAACACACCAGUUGUCAAGCAGUGGUGGAGAGACAAACGCAGACAUAAAGACACACACACAUUGAUAUAUAGACAUAUAUAUAUAUCAUCAUCAUCAUCGUUUAAUGUCUGUUUUCCGUGCUAGCACGGGUUGGACAGAAACGAGAUACCACUGCCCCGGGUGAGGCCCGAACUCACAACCUCUGCAUUAUAAGUACGGCGUGCUAAUAUAUAUAUGUAUACAACAGACUUCUUUCAGUUUCCAUCUACUAAAUCCACUCACAAGGAUUUGGUCAACCCAAGGCUAUUGUAAAAGACACUUGCCCAAGGUGUCACACAGUGGGACUGAACCUGGAAAUGUGAUUGGGAAGAAGGCAUCUUACCACACAGCCAUGUCUGUGCCAAUGUAUACAAUAGUACUCAUAUCGAGAAAACUUCAUCAGCCCGUAUGCCCACUUCAUCAUGAGCAGCUCACUAAUACUAAGGAUCACAUUCUUAACAUAGCUAAGACCACCCUGAUGACUGGCCUUUCUCUUUAACCCCCAACAAUUAUUGAUGCCCUACAAAGCUCAAGUGAGGACUAAAAUGGAUCAUUGCACUCACAUCUGGGACAGUGAUACUUCUGCACACACAAGCAUCAUAAACUACAUCCACUCAACUGAUUGGCAUGAAGUUACUAGCAGACACACACCAACCUCUAACUCACCAGUUGCACUGUCUUUUCUUCCUAGCUUUCCCAGAUUGCUGGCCCUUUGAAAUUCACCCCCUACUCCUAUCUUUCAGAUGUCAACAGACAAUGGUCCAAGAGGAACAUUAAUGGUAUCAAUCUAACCACUUUAAGAGAGUCUGCAAAGGCCAUAGGAACAACUUAUUUCACCAGACCCAGCAAACAGAAGAAAAAGACACUGUUCAACAACCAUAUUGUGGCCUCCCUUCCUUGUGUCGUCUGCUUAUUGUCAUGCUCAAUUCCAAAUGCCUGGAGGGGGUAAACCUUUAAAAAAAAUGAAAUUUUGAAGGACAAUUUUUUCUAAACGCCAAAUCUCUAAAUUUCAAAAUACCUAAUUCAAACAAGAUAAGAAUUUUUAUAAAAAAUUGAAAGCAAAAAAUUUGGAGUGGUUGAAUGGAAACUAAAAUUUUGAAAUGCUGAAUUUUGGGCAAAAUCGUCGAGUCCAUUGUUGAAAGCAUAAGAAUGUGAAAAAAAAAUUCGAUAACAAGGGUAACUAUUGGUAGAGUGAAUAUCCAACACGUCUGCUGGAAGUAAAAAGUAAAAAGUAUGUUCGAGGUCGGACAUCAUACAGAGGUUUUUUUUUUUCUAAAAAAUUUAAUAAAGGGAGAGCAGCAAAUAUUGACAAGCCAUGUUUGUCUAGUGAUUAUCGUUCUUUAUCCUGUCUCGUAUGCUUGAUGUACAAAUAAAAAUAAUAUUUUCUACUAUAAGCAGGAGGCCUAAAAUUUUAGGGAAGGGGACUAGUCGAUUACAUUGACCUCAGUAUUUCACUGUUACUUUAUUCAUCGACCCAGAAAAGAUGAAAGGCAAAGUCGACCUCGGUGGAAUUUGAACUCAGAACGUAGCGACUGGCGAAAUACCGCUAAGCAUUUCGUCCAGCGUGCUAACGAUUCUGCCAGCUCGCCAAAAUAACUUGAGGUUCGUAACGAGGUGAAAUAGGAAAUUAUCGCUUGGGUAUUCCUUUUCCCUAGCGACAUUAAUAAAAUAAAAUGACAACUCGAUCUUUCCAAAAAGGAGAAAAAUUCACAUGUUCGGAGUAUAUACAUUAUUUAUAACUUACAAAAUAUAAAGUUAUCUCAAAUAGACUACAAACCAGAAAAGUAUUUUAACACACGCACAAACGUGUGUAUGUGUUAAUUAUACUCAUAUAUGUUGAAAGCUAAUCUAAUGUGAACGAAGAAUGCAAAACAGAUACAUAUUUUUUUAGAAAAAAAAUACUCUUGAUCCUCGAGGAUCUACAAUACUCC